rnacentral:rRNA from 1 species
CCCUUAGAUGUUCUGGGCCGCACGUGCGCUACACUGACGGAGGCAGCGAGCAUGUCCUUCGCCGAGAGGUGUGGGGAAUCUUGUGAGUCUCCGUCGUGCUGGGGAUAGAUGGUUGCAAUUGUCGAUCUUGAACGAGGAAUUCCUAGUAAGCGCGAGUCAUCAGCUCGCGCUGAUUACGUCCCUGCCCUUUGUACACACCGCCCGUCGCUACUACCGAUUGGAUGGUUUAGCGAGAACUUUGGACCGGAGCUCGGGUGGUCAGCAAUGGCCGCCCGAGACAUACUGGGAAAUCGCUCCAGCUUGAUCAUCGAGAGGAAGUAAAAGUCGUAACA